AUGGUUUUCCUGGCAGGGUGUCCGUCCCUCAGCAGCUGGUCUCCUGUGGCCUGGACACUGUUCAUCUUCUUCUCUCUCAGCUCCAGCUCCCUCAUCAGGCCCUGCGCCAGGCACCAGCAUCAGGCCACCGUCACCACAGCACUCAACGCUCAGCUCUGUCCUCACCGAGUAGUUGUCCUUCUUAGCCGCCAUGUUGGUGUUGCGCUCACUCCAGUCAUAGUUGACCUCCUCCUCCUCUUUGUCGUUCAGCCACAUCAACUCUUUGGUCGCCGCCAUGACGAAGGCGUGAAGCUGCUCCAGGUGGUGCAGACGGGCCUUGGACUGGUUCUGGGAGGGAGCAGGUGGCACCUUCACUGGCCUGAUGCACCCAGGGGCACCUCUGCAGGCGCACGUGGGCGCGCGCGUCUACGUGCACAUCGCACACACACUCUCACACCCCCUCCAGCACCUCUCUCACCCCCCACCCCACACACACACACUCCCUCACCCCCCCCAGCACCUCUCUCACCCCCCCCCAGCACCUCUCUCACCCCCCACCCCAGACACAGACACUCCCUCACACCCCCCCCAGCACCUCUCUCACACACAUACUCCCCCCCCUCACACACCCCCACCCCUCCACACACACACACUCUCACACACUCUCACGCCCCCUCACCCCCCCACACACACACACACACUCCCUCACCCCCCCACACACACACACUCCCUCACACCCCCCUAGCACCUCUCUCACACACACUCUCCCCCCCUCACACCCCCCCACCCCUCCACACACACACUCUCCCCCCCCUCACACCCCCAGCACCUCUCACACACACUCCCCCCCCCACCCCACACACACACACUCCCUCACACCCCCCCAGCACCUCUCUCACACACGCUCUCUCACACACUCUCACCCCCCCCACACACACUCCCUCACCCCCCCAGCACCUCUCUCACCCCCCACCCCACACACACACACUCCCUCACACCCCCCAGCACCUCUCUCACCCCCCACCCCACACACACACACUCCCUCACCCCCCCCAGCACCUCUCUCACCCCCCCCACACACACACACACUCCCUCACACCCCCCCAGCACCUCUCUCACACACAUACUCCCCCCCCACACCCCCCCACCCCUCCACACACACACACUCACACAUGCUCUCUCACACACUCUCCCCCCCCUCACCCCCCCACACACACACUCUCCCCCCCCUCACACCCCCCAGCACCUCUCUCACACACACUCCCCCCCCCUCACACCCCCCCCACCCCUCCACACACACACACUCUCACACACUCACACAUGCUCUCUCACACACUCUCCCCCCCCUCACACCCCCAGCACCUCUCUCACACACACUCCCCCCCCCUCACCCCCCCCACCCCCCCACACACUCCCCCCCCCUCACCCCCCCCACCCCACACACACACUCUCCCCCCCCUCACACCCCCAGCACCUCUCUCACACACACUCCCCCCCCCCCUCACCCCCCCCACCCCACACACACUCUCCCCCCCUCACCCCCCCACCCCACACACACUCUCCCCCCCCCUCACACCCCCAGCACCUCUCUCACCCCCCACCCCCACACACACACACUCCCCCCCCCCCGCCUCCCCCCCCCCACCCCACACACACACUCUCCCCCCCCUCACACCCCCAGCACCUCUCUCACACACACUCCCCCCCCCUCACCCCCCCACCCCACACACACACUCCCCCCCCCCCUCCCCCCCCCCACCCCACACACACACUCCCCCCCCCUCACCAGCAGCUUCCGGUACAUCUGCUCCAGUCUUCCCAGAUGUUCUCCGUAUGCAGCUUUCCUGCCAGGGGAGAUCUGACUCUGGAUCAGGAGCAGCGAGAACAUUAAAACUGUGUCAAAAAUACUGA
rnacentral:lncRNA from 1 species